GGGGAGGAGAUUCGCUUACACACAGGAGCCGAGCAUUGAGCGGCCAUAUCUGCCGCCGCCGCCGCCGCAGCUGUGGAUGCAGCAUCUGCGCUUUGCUGCCUCUGCGCCGCUAAGGUUCGCGUAGCUAUCCCGUGGCCCUUGGCUGUUCUGCCUUACCACCAUCGGUGGGAACAGCACGUUCUGACCUGCCUCCCUCCCUCCUUCUCCGCCGCACCCCGGCUGCUCAGACAUGGAUCUCGGCAGCAGCAGCGACUCAGCUCCCGACUGCUGGGAUCAGGUGGACAUGGAAGCCCCGGGUUCGGCUCCGAGUGGGGAUGGCAUCGCCACUGCGGUCACGGCAGCGGCCGAGGCAGCAGAAGCGGAGGCCCAGCGCCAGCAUCUCAGCACGGCCUUCAGCAGUCAGCUCAACAUCAACGCCAAACCUUUCGUGCCUACUAGCGUAAGCGCCGCGGAGUUCGUGCCGUCCUUCCUGCCGGGCUCGGCCCAGCCGCCCGCCCCCACAGCCUCCAGCAGUGACGAAACCUGCCCCGGCGGCGCCGGAGACCCUCAAGGUAAAAGGCUGGGAUGGGGAGCACCUGUGGAACCUUCCAAAGAUGGACCUUUAGUGUCGUGGGAAGGUUCCAGUUCAGCCGUUACCAUGGAACUUUCAGAACCUGUUGUAGAAAAUGGAGAGGUGGAGAUGGCCCUGGAUGAAUCGUGGGAGCUUAAAGAAGUAAGUGAAGCAAAGCCUGGGGGUUCUUUGGGAGAUUCGGGGCCCCCAGAAGAAAGUGGCAAGGAAAUGAUGGAGGAGAAAGAGGAAAUAAGGAAAUCAAAAUCUAUGGUCAUACCGUCAGGUGCUCCUAAGAAAGAACACGUAAAUGUGGUGUUCAUUGGGCAUGUAGAUGCUGGCAAGUCAACCAUUGGAGGACAAAUAAUGUUUUUGACUGGAAUGGUUGACAGAAGGACACUUGAGAAAUACGAAAGAGAAGCUAAGGAGAAGAAUAGAGAGACUUGGUAUUUGUCCUGGGCCUUAGAUACAAACCAAGAGGAAAGAGACAAGGGUAAAACAGUGGAAGUGGGCCGUGCGUAUUUUGAAACCGAAAAGAAACAUUUCACAAUUUUAGAUGCCCCUGGCCACAAGAGUUUUGUCCCAAAUAUGAUUGGUGGUGCUUCUCAAGCUGAUUUGGCUGUGCUGGUCAUCUCUGCCAGGAAAGGAGAAUUUGAAACUGGAUUUGAAAAAGGUGGACAGACACGAGAGCACGCGAUGUUGGCAAAAACAGCAGGGGUAAAAUACUUAAUAGUGCUUAUUAAUAAAAUGGAUGAUCCUACGGUAGAUUGGAGCAGUGAGCGAUAUGAAGAAUGUAAAGAGAAACUGGUCCCGUUUUUGAAAAAAGUUGGCUUCAGUCCGAAAAAGGACAUUCACUUUAUGCCCUGCUCAGGACUGACUGGAGCAAAUAUUAAAGAGCAGUCAGAUUUCUGCCCUUGGUACACUGGAUUACCAUUUAUUCCAUAUUUGGAUAGUUUGCCAAACUUCAACAGAUCAACUGAUGGACCAAUUAGGUUGCCAAUUGUGGAUAAGUACAAGGAUAUGGGCACUGUGGUCCUGGGAAAACUGGAAUCGGGAUCCAUUUUUAAAGGCCAGCAGCUUGUGAUGAUGCCCAACAAGCACAAUGUGGAGGUUCUAGGAAUAGUUUCUGAUGAUGCUGAGACUGAUUUUGUAGCCCCGGGUGAAAACCUCAAAAUCAGACUGAAAGGAAUUGAAGAAGAAGAGAUUCUUCCAGGCUUCAUACUUUGUGAACCUAGUAAUCUUUGCCACUCUGGACGCACAUUUGAUGUUCAGAUUGUGAUUAUUGAACACAAAUCUAUCAUCUGCCCAGGUUAUAACGCGGUGCUUCACAUCCAUACUUGUAUUGAGGAAGUUGAGAUAACAGCCUUAAUCUCCUUGGUAGACAAGAAAUCAGGAGAAAAAAGUAAGACACGGCCACGCUUUGUGAAACAAGAUCAAGUGUGUAUUGCCCGAUUAAGGACAGCAGGAACUAUCUGCCUGGAGACAUUUAAAGAUUUUCCUCAGAUGGGUCGUUUUACUUUAAGAGAUGAGGAGAAAUUUCACAGCAAAAAUCCAUGUUUUGUCAGCUUUCUCAUGUUGAGACCUCAGUUAUGGCACUCUUGAAUGCAUACUCCAGUUUCUUCCCUCUCCACCACUCUGCUUCCUUGGACAGAUCAGUAAUAGCUUUGUCCCAUAAUGUUGAGCACGGCCAAAUCAUACGUAUUCCUAAGGUUUCAGACUAUAUAUGUUGAAUAGACUCUUAUGUACUCCAUCAUCUUUAACGUGCUUUGGUAUCAUUCACUGUGAAAUUUGGGGUGCAAGACACAAUAACGGGCACAAUUACUGAAAAGGUAAAUUGUUGAACUAGGACUAUAUGUCUUUUACUAAAACAAAGGACUUGACAUGGGAAAGGAGUCUAUUCCUCAUGGUUGAGGGUUCAUUACAAUCUGUUCUCCAAACAAAUUCUUGAGGAAAACACCAGUUGUCGAUUCUAAGGUAGUUAGAUUUAUUGCCAGAAGAAUGACUUUAUGACCCUCAGAACUGUCAACAGCUGGAGAAUUUUCUGUCUUGUUGAGGAUGCGCGCUCUCAGCUUCCUGCUCCCACUGGCUGCCGUGCCUGCUGCUUGCUGCCCUGCUUCCCUGCCAUGGUGAUCUCUCUGGAACCGUGAGCCUAAAUAAACCCUCCAUUCUGUAAGUUGCUUCUGCUCAUGGUGUUUUAUCACAGCAACAGGAAAGGAACUGAUGGCAGAAGUUGGAAACCAGAGAGGAGGCUGUUGCUGUAUAGCGCAUGAGCAUGUUGUUUUUCAGAGGAAUGUGGAAGACUGAAACUUUGUAGAAAAGUUGGAUGCCGUAAGCAGACCUUAGCAGGAGCCUUGAAGACUAGUGCUGAGAGUACUGCAGAAUGUAGCAGCCUGGCUCACAAGGUUUCAGAAGGGAACAAUAUUAGCAAUUGGACUAGAGCCCAUUUCUGUGCUAUUUUGGCAAAGAAACUGGCUGCCUUCUGCCCUUUUCCUAAGAACUCGCCUGAAGCUGAAUUUUAAGAAGUGGCCUGGGAGUUCUGUCCAGGAAACUGUUGCAUGUGUUUAAACAUUUACACCCCCUCGCAUGUUUUCCUCUUGUAGUUUCAGAUCUUCUAUUAAGGUAUUGGAUCCAUUUGUGUUGAUUCUGGUACAGAGAGAAAGCUUCAUGUUUCAUUCUACUAUGUGGGAGUGGACACCAUGGUUUUUGACAUCGUUUUAAGGAUAAGUUGGUUAUAAACUCACACAGUUUUUUCUCUAUUUUAUUCCACUUCUGUGUAUUUUUUAUAUGCCAAUGCCAUGCUUCAUAGUUAUUUCCAUUUUGAAUAUGCAAUACUUCCAAACUUUGUUCUUUUUUCUCAAGAUUACUUAGGCUAUUCUGGGACAUGUGUGCUUCUAUAUAAUUUUUUUAGGAUUAUCCUUCUAGCUCUGUAGACAAUGCCGUUAGUAUUUUGACAUAAGGAUUGCCUUGAAUCUAUAAAUUAUUUUAGAUAAUAUGGAUAUUUUAACAACGAUAAUUUGUCCAGGUCAUGAAAACCGUGGAGUAAUUUCUUUGGCAGAGGAAAUGGCCAUGCUGCAUAAUGCUGAGUGUGGCAUGACUAUUAUCCAUAAUGCUUUUGCUGGUCUAUGAUGAUAAAGAGAAAGUGGGACAAAAAGAAAUACAGAAUGUAUAGUUUGGAGAGAUAAAGAUUGGCUGGAAGAGGGGCUAUAAUUGUUAAGGAGAUUAAUACCACUAAGGAGAGGUCUGCUUUGCACUUGAAUAAAUGGUAGGGUUCCUUCAGGGCAAGACUCCACCCAGCUAAGCUUCUGACGUGGGAAAGAGAGCCUAGAGUGGUUUCUGCUUCUAGAAAGCAACAGCAAAUAAAAGCUGCUGCUCCUGGGGUCCAGGGAAGUGUAGAUCCAUCCCGAGUUGGCAGCCUAACUUGGCAGUAUCAUUCAUGUGGUGUGGGCUUUAGGGGCAUGAAAGAUGCAGAGUGAAGGGGUUGUAGAUUCCUCUUCUUCUGUGUUUACAGAGAGCCCAGGCAGAGAGUGUUAGGGGAGUCCUUGGAUGAAGGCCCUGGGAGGCCAUUAUAUGAAGCUGUGAAAAUGAAGCCUGUCCCCAAGAAGUUAGUGAUGUCAGAGCUGUGAGAUGUCUGCCCAGGAGAGCAGCAUACAUGAAGUGAAAGCAUCUAAGAAGGAGAUGUAUGUUGUAGGUACCAAAGCUGAAAGGUCAGAGCCAUCUAAGUCCUUUAACAUGGAACAAAGAGCUACAGGGUUUAGUGUUUGCCAUUCUGGAUUCUUGUCUUCCUUUGGUCCCUUUCCUCCCUUUUGGGAUGAUAAUGCAUAUUCUGUGCCAUUGUAUGUUGAUUGGAAGUAAGUAAUUUGUUUUUGUUUUUGUUUUUUUUUAUUUACAGGGAGCUACAAUUAAGAGAUUGCCUUGAGUCACAAAAGAGACUUUGGAUGUUGGACUUUUAAGCAGUGUUGGGGCUUUUAAAGCCUGGGGACAUUUGAAAGCUUGACUGGAUGCAGUUCGCAUUAUGAUAUGACCAUGAGUCUGUGGAGGCCAUAGAGUGGAAUGGGCUGGUUUGAAUACAAGUUGUCCCCCAUAGACUCAUGCAUGAGUCAUGAACACUUGGUCCCCAGUUGACGGUGCUAUUCAGGGAUGGUUAGGAGUUGUGGCCUUCCUGGAGGAAGGAUGCCACUGAGAGCGGGUUUUGAGUGUUUAUAAUUUCACCCUAUAUCCAGUUUGCUCUCUGCGCUUCACACUUGUAAUUGAGGAUGUGAGCUCUCAGCUUCUGGCUCCAGCUGCCAUGCAUGCCUCUGGCUGCCGUGCUUCUGUAUCAUGAUGCAUGAUGGGCUUUUAUCCUUCUGGAACCAUAAGCUGAAAGAAACUCAUUUUUUUUCUAUAUAAGCCAAAAUAAACUCAUUUUUUCCAUAAGUUGUGUUGGUCAUUAUGUUUUAUCACCAAAACAUAUAGGUAGCUAAUGUACUCUUAAAGAGCUUUAUCUCAAAUUUCUGUCAACUAAGAUUAUGCAUAAUUUCCCCAUGUCUUAUUGCAUGCUAAAUAUACAAUGCCCUUCAGGAUUUAUCAGUAUGUACCCACUGACUUUUAGCAACUUUAUAAAAUACUUUUAUUUAUUCUUUGAAAAAUUCAUAAGUAUAUUAAAUGCAUUUUUGAUCAUAUCUAUCUAACACCACCUUCCUCCAAAUCCUCUAAUGCCCUCUUCUCCUUCUCCCUCCCAAAUCCUUCUAGCAACUUCUGUUGUAAGAUUCCUGCUCUACUUCUCUGGACUUUAUGGGACAGCUCUGAGGAAAUGUUACAUGAAGAAAGGGGUGAACCUGCAUUCCAUGUCAGCAAAGACCCAGGAAGGAAAGCAGAGGAAACCUUUGGCUGGGUAACAGCACACUGCAUUUCUCACAGAAGCAUCUUUCUUUGCUAUCUAGGAACCGUGUUAGUUGAAUUGGACUCUGAAAUAAUGGGCAUGGUUAGUUUUCAUUUUGUACCCACUAAAAGGAAACUCAGCAAUUGAUUGUUUUUCUACAUUAAAAAAUUCACUAAUAACUGGCCAUUGAUAGGAAGGAAACUUGAGUUGAGGGUACUCCUUAAGAAGGUGAACUUCUCUUAGAAUUCAGGAGAAGCUUUAUAAUUGUGUGUGUGUUAAUGUUCCACAGACCACCAAAAUCAGAGAAAUGGAAAAAUAAUAAAAACCUUCUGAAUGGACAGCCCAUGUGACAGAAAAGAGGAAGGGUGCUUGACUUGUAUUCCAGAGAGAAUGGCUGACAAUUUUGUAUAACAGCGUAUAGAAUAAUAUUGACUUUCAACAUGAUUCUGUCCCACACUCCACUAUGGCCGAUUGUUUUUUAUAAGAAAUCUGCCUUAACUUCUAUAGAGAUUUUUCUUUUCUCACACUUACUCUUAAACUUAUAUAAUUUAUGGUGAGAUAAAAUUCACAUGUAAAGCCCUUUUGUACUCAUAUUAAUAAGUCAAAUCUGCAAAUGCAGGUCAUUUUACAUACACCUCUUUUCUGCAUGUGUAUGUGUGCAUAUGUAUGGGUACAGUGUGUAUGGGGUGCACAGUGUGUGAGGGGUGUGUAUAAACACGUGUGCAUGGGAAAGCCCAAGGCUGCUGUAGAGCAUCUUCAGUUCCUCUUGCCUUUAUUUAUUUAUUUAUUUUUUUGCUCUCUACUUUAUUGAAGCAUUGUCUCUCACUGAACAAAGAGCUUGCUGAUUCUGGCUACCAGUUUGAUCCAGGGAUCCCCUCUAUCUGCUUCUCAAGUUCUAGGGUUACAGGCAGUCAAAAUAACUGCCAAGGUUUUACCUAGGUUGUAGGAGUCCAAACUCUGGUCCACAGGCUUGCUUAGUAAAUACCUACUCCACUGAGCUGUCUCCUCAACUCUAAUUUUGCAUCUCCAAUAAGGAUAAUUUUUUCUCUUUACUUGCUGAACGUCUUCAAAAGUUUAAGCAGUCAGUAUUGAAAUCUUGCUUCAGUUUUGGUACGAGGAGAUUAACAAAUAAACAAAAAAUUGUUUUUAGUCAGAGUGCCAUGUACAGCAUGUACAGUCAUGGUACUGCAUCUCUCACUUGUAUAUAUAUUACAUACCCAGUUAUACAUGUUAUAUACUUGUAUAUAUAUUACAUACCCAGUUAUACAUGUUAUAUACUUGUAUAUAUAUUACAUACCCAGUUAUACAUGUUAUUUUGCAUUUGGGUCACUGAGUUAUGUGCAUUGGUGUUUUGCCUGCAUGAGGGUGUUGGGUACCCUAGAACUGGAGUUACAGACAGCUGUGAGCUGCUAUGUGGGUGCUGGGAAUUGGGUCCUCUUGAAGAACAGAUAGUGCUCUUAACCACUGAGCCAUCUUUCCAACCCCUGGGGCACUAGGUUAAAAGCUCACUAUUGUCUAGUGGAGGCCUAGGCAAAUUAUGUCCUCCUAAGUCUAACUUGCUUUAGUGCAGUCUAACUGAACUUUUUCCACAUGAAUAAAUUUACAUGGUAAGUGACCAAUAAUUACCCCAAAAGUUUCAUCAGGUUUGACUGGCAGUUUCUGGAUUCCAGAAGAGUGACAGGCACCACUCUCACUUCCCUGAGGAAGCUUGCAGAUCUCAGGUUGCCAGACUGUACUGGAUGUCAGAGGGUUACCGGGAGCGACACAUUCCUCCACCUGUCUUGUGGAGGCACCUCAACCAGAUGUGUGCUGCUUUCUCCACAUUGAGUCCACAUGCUCAGAAUCCAGUCAAAUAUUCCUUCCAGGGAAUUCUCUCUCCCCUCUGCUGUCAAGGAAUCAGACAGCUUGACUGCACUGGUGUUCUGUGAACCUUCCCCCUCUCCUCUGAGACCUGUAAGGAAGGGAGAUCUCCCAUUCUGCUUCAUUUUCUUCAGCACCUCUGCCAUGCUACAGCUGUCUGUGCAUAUGUCCAAGGCCUUAACAACUCUUCUAAUAAACACCCACUACAUUUUCUCUUAUAAACUAAAUAUUAUAAGUAAUUGCAGUAGGAAGUUGAACUCACUUAUAAGAGUAACAAUUGCCUUUGGUGCAUUAAGGUUUUUAUUUUUAAGUUUAGAAACAUGAUUUGAAAGGCAGUGCACGUAUUUACUAAAAUUAGAAGUACAUCGUUUAUGAGGGCAGUGUUUUGGAGGUUGCCACAAUCUUUAUCUUAAAAGGAAGAAUUCUAAUUUUGGUCUUAGGGCUUUUCUCCCUUUAAAAACCUAACAUGGUAUUUUUUUCUUUUAGCUUUAAAAAUAUAGGAAAUAUAUGUAUUAAAAGUAUUCUUAGUAGCUGGAGAGAUGGCUCAGCAUCUAAGAGCACUGGAUACUCUUCCAAAGGACGUAGGUUCAGUUCCCAGCACCCACAGUCUCAGGGAAUCUGAUGAUCUAUUCUGGCCUCUACAGGUACUGUAUGCACAGUGCACAUACGCAUGCGGACAAAACACCAUACAUAUAAAAUAAAAAUAACCGAAAAAAUUUAAAAACUGAAAAAAAUUUCAACAAUUUAAAAUGAAGUAUUCUUUUAAAAAAGAAAGUGUCUCAGCUGUGGGCGCCUGGAAAACAAACAUCAAGUUAAAUUCUUCCUUGAAAUGGGAAGAAACGGUACAGUUACAAUCAAAUCAGAGCAAAAACAAAUAUCCAGUCUUGCAAAUGACCCAGUGUGUGCAAUGUCUGGGAUUCACUCAUGAUCUUCUGAGUCCAAAGGGCUUAGGCAACUCCACUUCCCUGGCUCUGCUACCUGCAAUACAUGCAACUCGUCUCAUAGGCUCAGAGCCGCAGCGCUUCACUUCAUAGCUGCUGCUGUCUUUGAUGGUCAUCCACAGUUCUGGCAUCUUCAACAUGCUGGGCUCUGCAUAGCAACUGAGGCUAAACCUUUACGGUAGCCUUGCCUAGGUUCUCUUCAGGGACUCCAACCCUGUCACAAGGUACCAAGCUGUAGCCUCUUUCCAUGACCAUUUCUGAGGGAGUCCCUGCAAGUUUCCACAGGGAAGCAAACCAUGCAAAGAAGUAAGAAUGAAAACCUGGUGCAGAUCGACUUUAUCAACACACGCAUCAGACUUCAGGGAGUCUAAUAACAGGUGCUUUAUUCCCAGUGUGUUUAAGCCCAGUGCAAUUUGAAAAAAAAGUCCUACUGUAACUUGA